AGUCGAGCGGGGUUAAUUAGAAGCUUGCUUCUAAUUAACCUAGCGGCGGACGGGUGAGUAACACGUAGGCAACCUGCCCACAAGACAGGGAUAACUACCGGAAACGGUAGCUAAUACCCGAUACAUCCUUUUCCUGCAUGGGAGAAGGAGGAAAGGCGGAGCAAUCUGUCACUUGUGGAUGGGCCUGCGGCGCAUUAGCUAGUUGGUGGGGUAAAGGCCUACCAAGGCGACGAUGCGUAGCCGACCUGAGAGGGUGAUCGGCCACACUGGGACUGAGACACGGCCCAGACUCCUACGGGAGGCAGCAGUAGGGAAUCUUCCGCAAUGGGCGAAAGCCUGACGGAGCAACGCCGCGUGAGUGAUGAAGGUUUUCGGAUCGUAAAGCUCUGUUGCCAGGGAAGAACGCUUGAGAGAGUAACUGCUCUUGAAGUGACGGUACCUGAGAAGAAAGCCCCGGCUAACUACGUGCCAGCAGCCGCGGUAAUACGUAGGGGGCAAGCGUUGUCCGGAAUUAUUGGGCGUAAAGCGCGCGCAGGCGGCUCUUUAAGUCUGGUGUUUAAUCCCGAGGCUCAACUUCGGGUCGCACUGGAAACUGGGGAGCUUGAGUGCAGAAGAGGAGAGUGGAAUUCCACGUGUAGCGGUGAAAUGCGUAGAGAUGUGGAG
rnacentral:rRNA from 1 species